rnacentral:misc_RNA from 1 species
GAUGAAGAACGCAGCGAAAUGCGAUAAGUAAUGUGAAUUGCAGAAUUCAGUGAAUCAUCGAAUCUUUGAACGCACAUUGCGCCCCCCAGUAUUCUGGCGGGCAUGCCUGUUCGAGCGUCAUUUCAACCAUCAAGCCCUGCUUGUGUUGGGGUCCUGCGGCUGCCCGCAGGCCCUGAAAACCAGUGGCGGGCUCGCUAGUCACACCGAGCGCAGUAGCACAUCUCGCUCAGGGCGUGCGGCGGGCUCCAGCCGUUAAAGCACCCACCUUUCGCAAGGUUGACCUCUGAUCAGGUAGGAAUACCCGCUGAACUUAAGCAUAUCAAUAAGCGGAGGA